ensembl:lncRNA
AUGAUGGUCCAGAUUUUAGAGGACCGGGACCUGAAAGGAGGAAUCCAGCUAUGGACGGUCCUGGGCCUGAUAGGAGAGGACCUGGAGUUCCAGAUUUCAGGGGACCAGGGCCUCCAAGCAGAGGCUUAUCUAUGGAGGGUCCUGGGCCUGACAGGAGAGGUCAUGAUGGUCCUAGAAUUUAGAGGACCAAGACCUGAAAGGAGGAAUCCAGCUAUGGAGGGUCCUGGGCCUGACAGGAGAGGACCUGGAGGUCCAGAUUUCAGAGGACCAAGGCAUGAAAGAAGAAGUUUAUCUAUCGAGCGUCCUGGGCCUGACAGGAGAGGACCUGGAGGUCCAGAUUUCAGGAGACCAGGUCCUGAAAGCAGAGGCUUGUCUAUGGAGGGUCCUGGGCCUGACAGGAGACGACCUAGAGGUCCAGAUUUCAGAGGACCUGGGCCUGAGAGAAGAAGUUUAUCUAUGGAGCGUCCUGGGCCUGACAGUAGAGGAUCUGGAUGUCCAGAUAUCAGAGGACCAGGACAUGAAAGGAGAGGUCCAUCUAUGGAGGCUCUAGGACCUGACAGAAGAGGACCAGUAGGUCCAGUCUUUAGUGGGCCAGGACAUGAAAGGAGAGGUCACAUUAUGGACAGUCAAGAGCCUGACAAUAGAGGACCAGGAGGUCCAGAUUUCCAUGGUACAGAGACUGAAAGGAGAGGUCUAGCCAUGGAUGGACUAGGGCCUGACGGGAGAGGUCCAGGAGAUCAAAACACUGAUGGACUGGGUACCAACAGGAGAGGUCGAUAUGUGAGGGGUCCUGGCCCUGACAUCCCUGGACUUAGGCCUGUAAGAACUGCUCCAGGUUUAGAAGGUCCAGCGCCUCAAAGCAGAGGACAGGGAGGACUUCACUUCAGGGGUCCUGGGCCAGAAAGUGGACAGCCAAAUAUUGAGGGCCCAGGGCAUGAGAGGAGAGGUCCAGACAUCAGGGGACCAAGGCUGGAACAACCAGAUUCCGGUAUUGAGGGUCCAGGGCCCAACAGGAGAGUGUCAGGAGGUCCAGACAUGAGACCAGGGCAUUCCGAUCCAAACAAAGAGGGCCCAGGGCCUGACAAAAGAGGUCCAGAAGGUCCACAUUUCAGAAGGCCUGGACCAGAAAAAAGACUUCCAGAGAUGGAGGGAACGGGAAUCAGCAGGAGCUUUCCAGGAGGCCCACAGUUCAGCGGCCAUGAGCUACAAAGAAGACCUCCAGAUAUAGAUAUAUCGGAUAGGAGAGGUCCACACUUCAGAGGAGUGAGGCCUGAAAGAACUGUUAUGGAGGGUCCAGGGCCGAAUAGGAAAGGAGUUCCAGAUUUUAGAGGGCCAGGUUGUGAACCUGGCAGACAAGAACCAGGAGACUCAGGCUUCCAGGAGCCUGGGCCUGAGCGGAGAUGUCGAGAUUUAGAGGGCCCAGGACCAGAUUGGAGAAAAUUAGGUUAUUCAGACUUUAGAGACCCUGGCAUCAGGCAGAAAGUUCCAAAUAAAGGCCUAAGACAAAGAAGAGAUGGCUGGGGAGAGGCUGACCUUGGAGGGUCAGAACCUAUCCAAGAGAGCCCAGAUAUAGAGUGCCCAGGUCCUAAUAGAGGAGGUCGAAACUUGAGAGGUUCAAGGCCUAUGAGGGGAAAUAUUAGAGGACCAGGGCCAGAUAUGAGCAGUCUAAAUCGGGGAGACAGAUGGAAAGGGCCAGACACAGUGGAACAAUGGUCAGAUGAAAGAGGGCCCAAUAUGGAGGAUGUAGGAAAUGAAGGAGAAUGUUCAGGAGAUGAUUGGAAAAGAUAUGACAACAGGGGUCCGAUCCAAGAAGGUCCAGGUGAGCAUAUUCAAGAACUUACUAGGCAAGAUCCUUGUAGGGAAUGGAGAUGCCCUGAAAGUAGGGGGCCAAGGCCCAUACAGGAAAGACAUAAUAUGCCAUUUCCAAGGCCAGUUCCAGGAGAUGAUUGGAAUGGUCCUGGUUGCAGAGGUCCAGGGCCUGUCCAAGGUCACCCAGAUAUGAUAUGCCCAGGGCCUGGUAGGGGAGGACCUGGAAAUGGAUUGAGAGAGCCUGGUAGAGGGUGUGCUGGGCCAAACAGAAGGAGGCCUGGGCCAUUUUUCAGUAGGGAAAGAGAUCCAGGCAAUCGAGGACAAGGCCAUGAUAGAAGAGGUCCAGGCAUGAGAGAACCAGGAUCAAAUAUGAGAGGGGGUCCAGAUAUGGGGAAUGACUGGAGGCAGCCAGACUUCAGUGGUAAUUUGAGAGGGCCAAACAUGGAAGGAGCUCAAAACUUAUUGAAUUCAGGAUUUGAAAUGGAAGGUAUUGAUGGUCCAGAUUUAAGACGUCCAGGGCCUGAAAACAGAAAUUUAAACAUUGAAGGUCCAGGGACUGAUGGGAGAUUUUCAGAUUGUGGGGAACUAGGAUCUGAAACGCAAUGUAUAGACAUGGAAAACCCUGGAACAGGUAGACAAGGAUUUCAGCAUGAUUUUAGGAGGGAAAGGAGAGCUCCGGACAUGAGAAGACUAGGGCCUGGUAAAACGGAUACUAGGGGGCCUCGAAGUUCAGAUAUAAGACAUGGGCCUGGGAGGUGGGAUACAAACACUGAGCACCCUGAAUCUGAUAGAAGAGGUCCAGACAUGAUGGGCCCAGCUUUAAAUUCAAGGGGACCUGAACCACCCAUGAAGGAUGACAUGCAAGGGUCAGAUAUAAGGGGCACACGGUGUUAUAGCAGAGGGCCAGACAUGACAGCAUCACCUCAUUUCAAUAGUCCUCACCCUAGUGAUCCACAUUCUGCACCAUACAAAGGACCCCUAGGUCCAGCUCAAAUUAGUGGAGGAAAGUUAUACCCCGGUUUUGACAAUCUACAAAAUCAGCAAGCAGUAAAGCCCCAGUCACAGAGAGUUGCCUUACUUCCCACUCCAACAGGUCUCAUACGCUUCCCAAAUUGUAUGACCAACAAUCCUGAUGUCUUUAGCCCGAAACGAAAACAAAUGGGUCACCGAACUGACAGGGAGUGGAGUAGAGGUAGACCUGUGACUCAAGAAAAGGAGUUGGUUAAAGGGCAAAGCCAGGAGCAGGAGAAAAGUCCUACUGGUAAAAUAAGCACAUCUGAAGAUGCGAGCACAGAGGGAAGAGAAGUCAAACUUGAAGUUGGGAAUGAAUGUGAUAAACAGGAUAAGUGUGUAGAAACUAAAAGCAAGUUAGACACAGACUAA